rnacentral:lncRNA from 10 species
UGUCGACAGGACCUCCUGGGGCUGUGUCACAGGUGCGCAACCUCAAAUUUAACAAAAUAAACUUUCUAAAUUAACUGAGACCUGUCUCAGAUUUUCAGAGUUCACAUUUUGGUAACCAUGGAGGGUUUCUGAGUGAAGAUGCCCUGACCCUUGAUAAAUCUCUUGUUGGUGCUUGGUACCAGCAUGAGCUAACUUUAUGGCCCAAACCAAUAGGACACCUGGCUGAGGUCUGGGAGCACCCCCUCGAGAGAAUCCCUGGUUUCCCAAAAUUUGGUCAAGACCUGAAGUUUAUUUUGCUUUAUAAUUCCUUUUUUUUCUUUUGGAGUUUUAGUUGCUUCCAACAAGGAAGGCAAAAUUUCCUGUUUCCGUGAUGAUCAAAGGCAGGUAACCCCUUUAUGGAGUUUGAGUUCACUCACAGCAAGAAAGAUGAGUUUGUUUUUUUGUUUUGUUUCUGGUUGUUUUUUCCCUGCUUCUAGGAUGGUAGAAAGCAGUCUUCAGCCUAAGACCCAUUCCUAGGGCUUUGACUCCUGGGUCUAUAAAGGACACCAAGUCCUGCUAAAUCUUAAACACUGACAGCAAUUAAAGCCUCAUAUUCAGGCCCAGUAGAAGAUGCCAAUCAAAAUAAACUGUAUUUCUGAGACACAGAGCCAGAAGUUAAAGCUAUUCAACUCCUCAAACCCAGGACUAUUGCAGAAGAGAGUCAAGGAAACUUUUCUUUUGAGCUAUCGAUAGCUUUCAACAAUUUAGUAUACUCCUAUGAAUGAAAUUUAGAACAUACUUGUUUCUCUCUAUCUGAUUUCUCCAGAAUUUGGAAACUAUUUGACAUGAGACUUCACAACCUGGUAAAAAUGAACUUUCCUAAUAACUCAGGACCUACCCGCCUGGGAAUUGAUCAUCCUAGCCAUGAGAGAUCAGACAAAACCUGAGACCAGAGACUCAUUUUCACCUAAAACACUUGCUCCAAAAGAUUUUUUUAAGUGGGGAAAUGUGGAAGGAGAAUAUAACUUUGGGGCCCCAAAAUUACUAAGUCAAAGGGAAAAGUCAAGCCGGGAACUUCUUAGGUAAAACCUGCCUCCCAUUGUAUUCAAAGUCACCCCUCUGCUCACUGAGAUAAAUACAUUUAUCUGAUUCCCUCAUUUGGAGAGGCUAAUCAGAAACUCAAAAAAAUGCAGCCAUUUGUCUCUUAUCUACCUACAACCUGGAAGCCCCCUCAUUGCUUAGAGUUGCCCCACCUUUGCCUCAAACUGUCUCACCUUUUCAGAAUGAACAAAUGUACAUCUUACACAUAUUGAUUGAUGUCUUAUGUCUCCCUGACAUUUAUAAAACCAAGCUGUGCCCCUACCACCUUGGACACUUGUCCUCAGGACCUCCUGAGGCUGUGGCAUGGGCAUGCAUCCUCACCUUGGCAAAAUAAACUUUCUAAACCAACUGAGACCUAUCUCAGAUUUUAGGGGAUCACAAUACCAAGCCAGGCACAUAUUACAUGGAACAAUCCAGGACCAAGAACCUUCGUUCUAAAUAUAGAGCUAAGAAAUUUUGUCUGAGGUGAGCACAUUCAAAGCAUAGAACCAUACAAAUAUCACAUGUGCUAAAAGCUGAAUGUGUGAUAAAGAAAGAAAAGAAUGAGAAUUCAGAGGUGAUUUUUGGAAAAGUUUAAAAUCAAAUUGGUGUAAAGACAAAAAAAUUGAGGCAGAAAUAUGUAUAAUAUGUUUGGAAACAAUUGUUUUAUUCCUUUCUAUCUCAGUAUCCAUGGAGGAGAGUGUGGAUGAUGAAGUUUGGAAAUGUGGUAAAGAUGAAAAGACUGAGUAGCAGUCUUAGAACUUCGGAUAGCACUCCGUGGGAAAAAGGGAAAACCACUGAUAAAUUUUAAGUAAAGUGGUUUCAAAGGCAAAGUACUACACAGAAAUAUUAAUCUAAAACAUAAUUUGCAGGAUAGAUUCAAAUGGGAAAAGCAAGAGGCAAGGAGACCAAUUAGGACAUGAAUUGUUCAGUGAGAUGGAGAAGAACACAGUCAAUUACAGCAAAUGUGGGAAUAGAAAGAAACAUGGGAAUUAGCAAGACCUCUGAAAGAAACAUUAAAAGACUUCAUAAAUAACUGAAUGAAGAAGGCUUUGGAAAAUAACUUAAAGGUGACAUACACCUGUCAGCAUAAGAAUGCUCUUUAUAUCUAGCUAAGUCUUGAAUGAAUUUUGUGAUGUAAACCUCCCUGUAACAUGUGGUAAUAGCCUCAAUAGCAGCCCCUUUCCUAUUACAAUGGCCCUAAUUACUAGAAAGCUUAUUCUGUUAGGCAAAAAUUUCACCCUAAUGUAACUUUUAUCCAUUGGUUCUAGGGUUGUUCUUAUAUCACUCUAACUCAUAGACUGGCAAUAUUUUUCCCCAAUAGAGCCAGAUAGUAAAUAUUGUAGGUUAUGCCGGUCAUAUGGUCACUGUCACAAUUACUCAACUCUGCUGGUAUUGCAUAAAAGCAGCCAUACACCAUAUAGAAGAUGAAUGGAUGUGACUGUAUUCCAAUAAAACUUUGUUUACAAAAUCAGAUGGCAGGCUAGUUUUGGCCCAAGGGCUACAGUUUGCUGACCCCUACUCUAGUUAAUUAUGAUGUUUAAUAUAUUUUAAUUGAAGACACACUUACCCCUCAAACUUCCUAUGAAAUAUUCUCUACUCCAGCCUAUAUAUGGCCAAGUCCUUCGACUAUUCCUGGUGAUAUAAUUUUGAAUCAUACCUUCAUACUUUUCAGCAAUGUGUUUAUAUAUUUUUAUACGGUGGCACUCACUUUAAUAAACCUCUUUUGGAAUGGUCAGAUAAGCAGAAUACGGUUGUUGGCCCCAUUUUUGUGAACACUAUAGUCUACUAACACAUUUCAAGACUCAGUUAAUAGCCACACUACCCUUUUGACUCAUGCAUCUGACUAAGAUCCCUCUCUGCACUUUGAGGAGGUGGGCUGCUAUGAAAGGUGCCACCUCUGCUCUCUGGGACUCUCAUUUUUGCAAAUUUUGCUCUGUGGGAACAAGGUGAGUAAAGGUUACCAUGUGCUUGGAGCUCUAAUAAAGCAGAUGAACUGCUCAGUGCCUAAUGGAUUGGCUCUUUACCCCCAAAAGCCCAGUUCUUAUUCUGUUUCAGAUCCUUGAUGUUUCCUAGUUCUGCUAAUUUCCUCAUUGUCCUGUGAGCUGGAAAGGUGCUAUGAAGAAGCAGUCAGUGCAACCAGAGCUCAGAUUAAUCCACAUUGGGCUGUGUUUAAACUGGUCUAAGGUAAAGGAGAAAUUUUUUGAGACAGGAGGAGUGCCAUUCCCAUCCCCUGGAAAUGAUGAACUCCCUGGAGAUUUAGCUCAACGAUGUCUGCUAUUGUAUAUUCAGUCUUUGGUUAAAGAGUGGGACUGAUAACUACCAAUGAUCCUUUGUUAUAUAUGCUUUUUUUUAACUUUGUGCCUUAGUAAAGACCCUCUGAAGAAUUGGUGCUGCUACUAAAAUCAGCCACUCUUUACCAAAUCACCCUUCAUAAUUGUAUCCAUUGCAUUUAUCACCAGGUGAACUACCUUAUUUGUUCGUUUAUUAAGGUACAUUCUUUCUCUCUCUGCAAUGUUCCUGAAACUGUGUUUGAAGCUAGAAGAUCAGUGGUAAAUAAAACCUAGACUUUGCCCUCCAGGAUCUAACCUUUUACUGGAGAAGCAAGAGAAACAUGAAUACAAUUAUAAUAUAUAAUUAUUACUAAGGCUCUUGGUAUUAAUGUAAUGUCCCUGUGCUUUUUGGCAUGAACUACUAUAUAAUAACUCCUCUAUAUUUACUAAUAAAUUGAACUAUGUCUAUCCCAAUUGUCAGUUGCUAGGUUACAAGCAUCCUAAAACUUGACUUAAAAACCUCUUUAUUUUGCUCCUGAACCUGUAAUUUGGGUGAGGCUCUGCCUCUGCUCCUUUUGGUAGCAACUGUGAGAGCUGGAAGGCUGGAAUCAAAUGAAGGUCUAUUCACUCGCAUCUAGGGAUUGAUGCUGACUAUUGACAGGGAUCUUGGCUGGAGCUGUUGGCAGGAAUGCCUAAAUGUGGCUUCUCCAUGUGAUCUCAUCCUACCUCACGACUAAUUUCAAAGCAGAAUAUCCCAAGACAGAUCUUGGCAGAAACAGUGGGGCCUUUUUUUAACCUAACCCUAUGGUCAUGCAGUGAACUGUGCUACCUUCUAUUCAUUAGGAGAAAGUCACUAAGGUCAGUUCAUAUUCCAGGGGAGAGGAAAUACUUUGUCAUUUUUAUAGGAAGAGUGUGCACAUGAUUAAAAUCACCAUAGUACUUCCUCUAUGUACCUCAAAUUACUUGCAUUACUUACAUUACUUCAACAUAAAGAAUAUCGUGUCCCCUCAAAAGGCCUCUCAAAAGUCUUUAGAGCAUGGGACUCAAGCUUGAGGAACAAGAUUUUAUCGCCUGUAUCGGGUCCAGGUUUGGAUGAGAUUCCUUGGAUGCAGUUACUUGAAUACAGUACCUCAAGUAGUUUCUCUUAAUCUGAAAACUUAUGAACUACAUACAAAAGUUAUCCAACCCCCUCAUAUACCCAACAUACAAUGGUAGGACAGGCAUAGGAUAACCACUAUAGACAUGCCCACUCAAAGAAAUAAAAGAGCAGAAGGCAUACAGUAGUCACUGGUCCAUAGCAAUACUGAAUUCCAGCAAGACACAUUGCCAUUUCUAAUUUCUGGGGACAGUUAUCAAAAAUUCUUCAUACUGCUCUCUAGGCUCUGGGCUCCAUCCCUUGAGUCAUGCUUCCUUUUAUGUAAAAUACGGCCAGUGCUUCCACCUGAGUACUUUUCUUAGUCCUUUUAUUGCCCAUAAUAUUUCAAGAGUUCAAGGGACUCAUUUUACUUUUUAACAUCUCUGUCCCUUUUAGUUCAAGCUGAUGCACUUUUCUUUUUUUUGAGACAGAGUCUCACUCUGUCACCAGGCUGGAUUGCAGUGGCGUGAUCUCGGCUCACUGCAACCUCCGCCUCCCAGGUUCAAGCAAUUCCCCUGCCUCAGCCUCGCAAUUAGCUGGGACUACAGUUAUGCACCACCACGCCCAGCUAAUUUUUUUUCUAUUUUAGUAGAGACGGGGUUUCAUCAUGUUGACCAGGAUGGUCUCAAUCUCCUGACAUCGUGAUCCACCCGCCUCAGCCUCCCAAAGUGCUGAGAUGACAGGCAUAAGCCAC